UGAAGAAAUAUUUAUAACAUCUCAUUGUUUUGGUAAUAACAAAUUUGUUCUCCUGGAUUUCUGAUGAAUCCAUUGGCAAACGUAGACCGUUACAACAAGGGUCAAAAUAUAGAACAUAGAUCCACGUUUGAGAAUCUGUCACGAGCCAACACUAUAGACUAUAGUUUCUCUAUAAAUAAUACACAUACAAAAACCUCACCGUUCCCUAGGCAAGCAUAAUACAAACAAAAAAUGAACAGACCGACAAA
rnacentral:lncRNA from 1 species